UAGAGGUGGUAGGGUAGCCUAGUGGUUAGAGUGUAGAGGUGGUAGGGUAGCCUAGUGGAUAGAGUGUAGAGGUGGUAGGGUAGCCUAGUGGUUAGAGUGUAGAGGUGGUAGGGUAGCCUAGUGGUUAGAGUGUAGAGGUGGUAGGGUAGCCUAGUGGUUAGAGUGUAGAGGUGGUAGGGUAGCCUAGUGGUUAGAGUGUAGAGGUGGUAGGGUAGCCUAGUGGUUAGAGUGUAGAGGUGGCAGGGUAGCCUAGUGGUUAGAGUGUAGAGGUGGCAGGGUAGCCUAGUGGUUAGAGUGUAGAGGUGGCAGGGUAGCCUAGUGGUUAGAGUGUAGAGGUGGUAGGGUAGCCUAGUGGUUAGAGUGUAGAGGUGGUAGGGUAGCCUAGUGGUUAGAGUGUAGAGGUGGUAGGGUAGCCUAGUGGUUAGAGUGUAGAGGUGGCAGGGUAGCCUAGUGGUUAGAGUGUAGAGGUGGUAGGGUAGCCUAGUGGUUAGAGUGUAGAGGUGGUAGGGUAGCCUAGUGGUUAGAGUGUAGAGGUGGUAGGGUAGCCUAGUGGUUAGAGUGUAGAGGUGGCAGGGUAGCCUAGUGGUUAGAGUGUAGAGGUGGCAGGGUAGCCUAGUGGUUAGAGUGUAGAGGUGGCAGGGUAGCCUAGUGGUUAGAGUGUAGAGGUGGCAGGGUAGCCUAGUGGUUAGAGUGUAGAGGUGGCAGGGUAGCCUAGUGGUUAGAGUGUAGAGGUGGCAGGGUAGCCUAGUGGUUAGAGUGUAGAGGUGGUAGGGUAGCCUAGUGGUUAGAGUGUAGAGGUGGUAGGGUAGCCUAGUGGUUAGAGUGUAGAGGUGGCAGGGUAGCCUAGUGGUUAGAGUGUAGAGGUGGCAGGGUAGCCUAGUGGUUAGAGUGUAGAGGUGGCAGGGUAGCCUAGUGGUUAGAGUGUAGAGGUGGUAGGGUAGCCUAGUGGUUAGAGU